AUUUUGAGUCUUUUAGAUUUUUAUAAUAUAAUAUUUACAAAAUUCACGUUGACCUGCAAUGCUCUCGCGAAAGGAAAUUGUGUCUAUCUUACUCCUGUUGACAGCGCUGAUCUGCAUAUUGAAUGCGGCUUUGUUUGGCAACAUAAUGCCCCUAUCCACGAGCUAUGAGCAGUUGGCUGAACAAACCAUUAACGCAGGCACCGCCUACAUUUGCAUCCUGUACGCCCUGAGCACAUGGGUAUAUCAUUCAAACUACUCGGAGCCCCGACGGCAAAUACGCUAUGUGCUAAUUGCAAUGCUGAUACUUUUGAUUGCGGCCAACUUGACCGGGCUCAUAACGGUCAUUCAAACACUGUUCAUAUCCGACCUAAUGGAUGCCUUGAGCACGAGGGAUCUGUUCAGCUCGUUUGGUUAUUUGUGUCGCACAGUGACAGCUGUGCUGUUCGUGAUAACACUUUUGCUGCUGAUCAUUAUUCUGAUAAUUGUCACUAUAACCGCAUUCAAGCAUUCGUGGUCCAUAUCGAGCCGUCAGGAUUCUAAGGAAGAUUUGCCAUAACAAGAAUAUUCUGCAGCAGCUGCCAUUCGGCUGGCAGAAAUUGGUUUUCAUUUAAUGUCAAAAACUUUGUGUUGCCUGCGUGCCAAAAAGUAUAUAAAUAUUUUACUCGUAACCCAAACUGAGGCUCCACCAGUCCUGAUGUCUGGCAGGCACCUCAAGCAACAGCUGCAACUGCUCUGAUGAUACCCUGGGCACAUUCAUAUAUGACUG
rnacentral:misc_RNA from 1 species